CAUGCAAGUCAACGAGAAUUUAUCUUCGGAUAAUAGUAAAGUGGCGAACGGGUGAGUAACGCGUAAAUAACUUGCCUUGGAGAUGGGGACAACAUUGGGAAACCAGUGCUAAUACCAAAUAAUGCAGCGGGCCCUUCGGGGCAUAGUUGUUAAAGUAGGCUUCGGCUUACACUUCAAGAUAGAUUUGCGUCCGAUUAGUUAGUUGGUAGGGUAAUAGCCUACCAAGACUGAGAUCGGUAGCUGGUCUGAGAGGAUGAUCACCCACACUGGAAUUGAGAUACGGUCCAGACUCCUACGGGAGGCAGCAGUGAGGAAUUUUGCACAGUGGGCGAAAGCCUGAUGCAGCAACACCGCGUGAUUGAUGAAGUUUUUAGGAAUGUAAAAAUCUGUCGUAAGGGAAGAAAUGUUUCGGAUGUUAAUACCAUCUGUUACUGACGGUACCUUACAAGAAAGGACCGGCUAACUUCGUGCCAGCAGCCGCGGUAAUACGAGGGGUCCUAGCGUUGUCCGGAUUUACUGGGCGUAAAGGGUACGUAGGCGUUUUAAUAAGUUGUAUGUUAAAUAUCUUAGCUUAACUAAGAAAGUGCAUACAAAACUGUUAAGAUAGAGUUUGAGAGAGGAACGCAGAAUUCAUGGUGGAGCGGUGACAUGCGUAGAUAUCAUGAGGAAAGUCAUAUGCGAAGGCAGCCUUCUGGCUCAAAACUGACG
rnacentral:rRNA from 1 species